rnacentral:rRNA from 1 species
GGUUAAGUUAAUAAGGGCGCACGGUGGAUGCCUUGGCACUAGGAGCCGACGAAGGACGUGACAAACGACGAUAUGCCUUGGGUAGCUGUAAGUAAGCGAUGAUCCAGGGAUUUCCGAAUGGGGGAACCCAACAGGUAAUACCUGUUACCCACAUCUGUUAAGGAUGUGAGGAGGAAGACGCAGUGAACUGAAACAUCUAAGUAGCUGCAGGAAGAGAAAGCAAAAGCGAUUGCCUUAGUAGCGGCGAGCGAAACGGCAGAAGGGCAAACCGAAGAGUUUACUCUUCGGGGUUGUAGGACUGCAAUGUGGACUCAAAGAUUAUAGAAGAAUGAUUUGGGAAGAUCAGCCAAAGAGAGUAAUAGCCUCGUAUUUAAAAUAGUCUUUGUACCUAGCAGUAUCCUGAGUACGGCGGGACACGUGAAAUCCCGUCGGAAUCUGGGAGGACCAUCUCCCAACCCUAAAUACUCCCUAGUGACCGAUAGUGAACCAGUACCGUGAGGGAAAGGUGAAAAGCACCCCGGGAGGGGAGUGAAAUAGAACCUGAAACCGUGUGCCUACAACAAGUUCGAGCCCGUUAAUGGGUGAGAGCGUGCCUUUUGUAGAAUGAACCGGCGAGUUACGUUAUGAUGCGAGGUUAAGUUGAAGAGACGGAGCCGUAGGGAAACCGAGUCUGAAUAGGGCGCCUUAGUAUCAUGACGUAGACCCGAAACCAUGUGACCUACCCAUGAGCAGGUUGAAGGUGCGGUAAGACGCACUGGAGGACCGAACCAGGGCACGUUGAAAAGUGCUUGGAUGACUUGUGGGUAGCGGAGAAAUUCCAAACGAACUUGGAGAUAGCUGGUUCUCUCCGAAAUAGCUUUAGGGCUAGCGUCGACAUUAGAGAUUCUUGGAGGUAGAGCACUGUUUGGGUGAGGGGUCCAUCCCGGAUUACCAAUCUCAGAUAAACUCCGAAUGCCAAUGAAUUAUGGUCGGCAGUCAGACUGCGAGUGCUAAGAUCCGUAGUCGAAAGGGAAACAGCCCAGACCACCAGCUAAGGUCCCAAAAUAAUUGUUAAGUGGAAAAGGAUGUGGGGUUGCACAGACAACUAGGAUGUUAGCUUAGAAGCAGCUAUUCAUUCAAAGAGUGCGUAAUAGCUCACUAGUCGAGUGACCCUGCGCCGAAAAUGUACCGGGGCUAAAACAAUUUACCGAAGCUGUGGAUACCUUUAUAGGUAUGGUAGGAGAGCGUUCUAUGUGUGAUGAAGGUAUACCGUGAGGAGUGCUGGAACGCAUAGAAGUGAGAAUGCCGGUAUGAGUAGCGAAAGACAGGUGAGAAUCCUGUCCACCGUAAGACUAAGGUUUCCAGGGGAAGGCUCGUCCGCCCUGGGUUAGUCGGGACCUAAGGAGAGACCGAAAGGUGUAUCCGAUGGACAACAGGUUGAUAUUCCUGUACUAGAGUAUGUAGUGAUGGAGGGACGCAGUAGGCUAACUAAAGCAGACGAUUGGAAGAGUCUGUCUAAGCAGUGAGGUGUGAAUUGAGUCAAAUGCUUAAUUCUAUAACAUUGAGCUGUGAUGGGGAGCGAAGUUUAGUAGUGAAGUUAGUGACGUCACACUGCCAAGAAAAGCUUCUAGCGUUUAAACAUACUCUACCCGUACCGCAAACCGACACAGGUAGUCGAGGCGAGUAGCCUCAGGUGAGCGAGAGAACUCUCGUUAAGGAACUCGGCAAAAUGACCCCGUAACUUCGGGAGAAGGGGUGCUGACUUAAAGUCAGCCGCAGUGAAUAGGCCCAAGCAACUGUUUAUCAAAAACACAGCUCUCUGCUAAAUCGUAAGAUGAUGUAUAGGGGGUGACGCCUGCCCGGUGCUGGAAGGUUAAGAGGAGUGCUUAGCGUAAGCGAAGGUAUGAAUUGAAGCCCCAGUAAACGGCGGCCGUAACUAUAACGGUCCUAAGGUAGCGAAAUUCCUUGUCGGG